rnacentral:rRNA from 1 species
CGAACGCUGGCGGCGUGCUUAACACAUGCAAGUCGAACGGAAAGGCCCUGCUUUUGUGGGGUGCUCGAGUGGCGAACGGGUGAGUAACACGUGAGUAACCUGCCCUUGACUUUGGGAUAACUUCAGGAAACUGGGGCUAAUACCGGAUAGGAGCUCCUGCUGCAUGGUGGGGGUUGGAAAGUUUCGGCGGUUGGGGAUGGACUCGCGGCUUAUCAGCUUGUUGGUGGGGUAGUGGCUUACCAAGGCUUUGACGGGUAGCCGGCCUGAGAGGGUGACCGGCCACAUUGGGACUGAGAUACGGCCCAGACUCCUACGGGAGGCAGCAGUGGGGAAUAUUGCACAAUGGGCGGAAGCCUGAUGCAGCAACGCCGCGUGCGGGAUGACGGCCUUCGGGUUGUAAACCGCUUUCGCCUGUGGCGAAGCGUGAGUGACGGUAAUGGGUAAAGAAGCACCGGCUAACUACGUG